GCCCCGGGCCUGUUUCCCUCUGAUGCAGUUACAGGGAAAAAAACAGGCAGGGAAGAUGGCCCGUCCCCUCUGCACUGUGAUGAGCCUUCCUGAGCGACAGCAUCCUGUUCUCUGACUUGAGUUUAAGUCCACAAAGUCCUCAGCACAGUGUGCCAUCCAGCUUCACGUCUUGCUCAUUCAGGAUGCCCUGGAGUCCUGGCAUCAUCUUCCUAAAAAAGAUGGGAGGUUCCAUUCUUCCUUCAAGGAGGAACUCACAAGUCACGUCUCACGUGGGUGAAGACUCCUGGCCCCCAGGCAGGCUUGGUGUCAUCCUCUCAUUCCACGGCUGUUAUGGCAACACCACUCAAUUCAGCCUCCUGGAACCAAAGAUUCAAGUUGUCCUUGUUGCUGGGCCGAACAAUUGUUAAGUGAUGGAGUUAGUUACUCAAGCCUCAUUUCUCCCACACAUUUGCUUCUGUGUCCCUACCACGUCCCUAACCUGGGUUUCUGACAGAGAGAGUCAGAGUCUCCACCCUUUUCACAACACCCAUUUGCCCCAACUUCUGUGGCCUCCUCUCUGCAAAUGCUCCUGGCCAUUUGAAAUCCACGUUGUGGUUAAUCUUAGGUGGGGUCCA